rnacentral:rRNA from 1 species
GCUCUGGAUACUGGCUGACUAGAGUUACAUAGAGGUAAGUGGAAUUCUUAGUGGAGCGGUGGAAUGCGUAGAUAUUAGGAAGAACACCAAUGGCGAAGGCAGCUUACUGGAUGUACACUGACGCUCAGGGACGAAAGCGUGGGGAGCAAACAGGAUUAGAUACCCUGGUAGUCCACGCCGUAAACGAUGAUCAUUAGCCGCUAGAAUAUUUAGUGGCGCAGCUAACGCAUUAAAUGAUCCGCCUGAGUAGUAUGCUCGCAAGAGUGAAACUUAAAGGAAUUGACGGGGACCCGCACAAGCGGUGGAGCAUGUGGUUUAAUUUGAAGAUACGCGUAGAACCUUACCCACUCUUGACAUCUUCCGCAAUACUAUGGAGACAUAGUGGAGGUUAACGGAAUGACAGAUGGUGCAUGGUUGUCGUCAGCUCGUGCCGUGAGGUGUUAGGUUAAGUCCUGCAACGAGCGCAACCCCUGUCUUUAGUUGCUAACGGAUAAUGCCGAGGACUCUAGAGAGACUGACUGGGUAACCAGUAGGAAGGUGGGGACGGCGUCAAAUCAUCAUGCCUCUUACGAGUGGGGCAACACACGUGCUACAAUGGACGGUACAAAGAGAAGCAAUAUGGUGACAUGGAGCAAACCUCAAAAAACCGUUCUCAGUUCGGAUUGAAGUCUGAAACUCGACUUCAUGAAGUUGGAAUCGCUAGUAAUCGUAGAUCAGCUACGCUACGGUGAAUACGUUCUCGGGUCUUGUACACACCGCCCGUC